rnacentral:rRNA from 1 species
UACGGAGGAUGCAAGCGUUAUCCGGAUUCAUUGGGUUUAAAGGGUGCGCAGGCGGAAUGAUAAGUCAGUGGUGAAAUCCUACGGCUCAACUGUAGAACUGCCAUUGAUACUGUUGUUCUUGAGUACAUUUGUAGUGGGCGGAAUGUGUCAUGUAGCGGUGAAAUGCUUAGAGAUGACACAGAACACCGAUCGCGAAGGCAGCUCACUAAACUGUAACUGACGCUCAGGCACGAAAGAGUGGGGAUCAAACAGG